GGCUAAGGAAGUAAGAGCAUAUGGUGAAUGCCUUUGGCGUCAGAAGUCGAUGAAGGACGUGGCUAGCUGCGAUAAGCUACGGGUAGGCGCAAGCUGCCUUUGAUCCGUAGAUGUCCGAAUGGGGCAACCC
rnacentral:rRNA from 1 species